AUCAAUUUACAUUUACAUUCAAGAACGAGUAUUAUUGUAGUGGAAUUGUGACUAUUCAAGACAAUAUCUUCUCUACAACUCGGUUCGAGAGAAAAACAGCGCGACGCUCAAACCGUUAUUACUGCCGUAUGGGUUUGCCAUCU
rnacentral:snoRNA from 1 species